CCAGUGGUUGCUGAAUUAGAGUUUGACAGCGUAAACAAAGAACCACCGCCCGACACGAUCGAAGAGG
rnacentral:ncRNA from 1 species